ACUCCGAGGCUAAGCGGAGUGACGGAAACUAAAACCCGGCACAGAAGAAAGGCCCAAGGAACCAGUGAGUCCCCACCCUGCCAAAAGGAGCGACUCCUCUAGAAAAACUUGGCGGCAAGUUAACAGGAAGCGCGGAGGCGCAGUUCCUAGGCCGUUUGGGGCACCUUGCCGCCCCAGUAAUCUCUUUUGUUCUUUGACAGGCCUCCUUGAAGCCCCAACUCUGAGCGCUUUCCGGGCGGCUCUUGACUCGAACUCCACUGCGAUCCCUCACUGAUGGCAGCCAUGAUAGUUACAUCCGGGUAUUUCGUGGAGUCGCGACCAGAGUCUCCCGGAAGUGACGCGAACGCGGAGGGAUUUGCGUUCGAGGCCAUCAGGUGGGGAAAUAGCUACACCAGCACCUCCCCAGAACGUUCAGAACCUCUCAGAUCCCUGGGUGUCAGAGGUCCCAGGGGCACAGCGUCCUCAGGGGAGGUCAGAGCCCAUGGCUAGAUAUCAUGGAGGCGAGGUAGUAUUUUUGUAAAAACAAAUUAUGCAUAGAAAAAAAUACAUCAGAAUUAAGAAUGAUAA